rnacentral:lncRNA from 1 species
UGUAAUGGGCAGUAAGUCUUCCUUUUCGAACCUGGGAAAAAAAUAAAAUUUUUAAAAUUAACAUCAACAAUAUAUUUCCUAACAUUAUCCACCUAAUCAACACUAAAUAACAUAAAAUCCGCAAACCUAUCUAAAUUCCCUAUACUAACCACCUAAUCUAUCCUAAACUAACCAAAUUAGAGAGAAAUCAGAGAGGCUUACCAUUGCUACGAAAUGG